rnacentral:rRNA from 1 species
GGAAUAUUGGGCAAUGGGCGCAAGCCUGACCCAGCGACGCCGUGUGGAGGAUGAAGGCUUUCGGGUUGUAAACUCCUAUCACAUGUUAGGAAGGUAUUAUGUGCUAAUAUCAUGUAGUAUCAGACAAAGGCAUGAGAUGAAGUCAUGGCUAACUCUGUGCCAGCAGCCGCGGUAAUACAGAGAUGGCAACCGUUGUUCGGAAUCACUGGGCUUAAAGAGCACGUAGGCGGGAAAGUAAGUUAGAUGUGAAAGCCCAUGGCUUACCUAUGGAACUGCAUCUAAUACUGUUUUUCUUGAGUGCGGAAGGGGAAAGUGGAACUCCUGGUGGAGCGGUGAAAUGCGUUGAUAUUAGGAGGAACGCCGGAGGCGAAAGCGACUUUCUGGUCCGCAACUGACGCUGAGGUGCGAAAGCUAGGGGAGCA